AUGACCACAAGAAACUUUCAGUCGGACAUGCAAAGACUUCUUAGCACCCUCUUCGAUGGGCUAGAAUUACGUGCACGAAAAGGUAUUGACUGGCUCACAAGAUCACGCUGCAGCAUAGCCACAAGAAAACAAAGUUGGGAGCUGUGCAAGGCGUGCCGGAAGAUCAUGGGCAUCUUGCCGGUGAUCUAUGUACUACUCCCUUUGUUGGUACUCGAGUCACUAGGAAAGCUAAAUGCGCUAUCAUCUGGAGUUGUAACAAGCCACAACCCCGGAGGGGAUUGGGUGCAACCAUCACAUGGCACGCUCGACGGUUGCCCCAAGAGCUGCGGCAAUGUGAGCUUUGGCUACCCCUUCGGCAUCGGAUCCAGGUGUUCCCGGGGGCCUGACUUCAACCUCACCUGCAACAACACCUCUCAUCCCCCCAGACUAUUCUUGAGGGACGAUAUCACCGAGGUGAUCCACUUUGAUGACCCUUUUUUCAAUAUAAACUUCAUCAAGGCCUCCUUCUCGCAUACCAUCCCCAUACAACCUGGUGUCAGUGUUUACAACUUGUCUUUGGUACCUCCUGGGAGGUCCUUCUCUCUCGGGGCCGCUGUUCUAAACAUUACCGGCUGUGGCCUGGAUGUAUACUCUGUCGGAGACGAUGCCACCACAUUAAAAUGCAGCACCGAGUGCCUGGAUCCAGGAAUUCCAGAGAUGGUGGCUAUGCACAACUGUAAAAAUACCUCCGGGUGUUGUCGUGUUGAUGUGGACGGUGACGGCAGUUUUCGGUUCAAAUUUGUCUACAACCAAAGCAAAAGCAACAUUGGUGCACGCUCUAGGAAGAGCUCACAACUAUAA
rnacentral:rRNA from 1 species